UUAAUCAGUCUGCCUAAUGCCAAUCCCUAAACUAUAUAUUAGGGUAACUGGAAGCGGAGGAACCAUAUUUGGGGCUAAUCUUUAUAGAUUUCGGAAUUUGAAAUCCAAAAUCCAGACAAGAAGAACAUCUCUCAGUUCUAGCCCGUCAGCUAACUUCGUCGGCAUUGAGAGGAGACUGA
rnacentral:sRNA from 1 species